CUCACACCAAGUCUCACACGAGAUAUGGCGAACAUCGAUCGAGGAGAAAGGAGUUUGCGGCGGUUUCAACCGGAUCACUGAGGGCGAGCUGAGAGCCCUUCUCGGCGCAUGCACUCCAUCUCUGGUCGUCUCUGCGUGGGAGCUCAUGGAGCUCACCAGCUCUGUCAUCGUCGUGCGUGAGCAGAUCCGUGGCGCAAAUCCAGUCUGUGACACGUUCUUCGUUGAUCACAAGGGGGGAAGGUGGAGCUCCUCUCCACUAAAUCCCUUUGAGCUGGAGGCUCUUUGUUUCUCAAUCGUUUGUUUUGUUCCAUGAAUAAAUUUUUUUUUGCGCCAU